rnacentral:tRNA from 1 species
GGAGGGUCCUGGGUAGAGUGUGUGCUUGGCAUGCACAAGGUCCUGGGUUCAAUCCCCAGUACCUCCA